CCCAGUGAUGUCACUAGUGUUGUAGCAACACUGACUGCCUUGAGGACAUUAGUUCAGUGACCACAAGCUUGGCCUCUAGACAUGCUGUCCAGACUCAGAGGUCUGUUUGGCAGAGGGAAUGGACUGCCUGGAGAGACCAGAGUGACGCAGAAGGAAGCUGGUCAUAGGUCUCCCUGGAAAACAUGGAAAAAAUGGUCCUGGGGCAGAGGCAGGACUACUGGGAAGACACCAACUCAAACCUCCACCUCCACUGAGCAGGAGCAGCAGAUGACAAAGUUGGAGAAACUCACCCUUCAGCUACAGAGUAUAACAUAUGAGCGAAUUGAACUGCAUGGAAUCCUGACCAGUUAUACAGAUAUGGAUUUGCAGAACAGGAGCAAGAGAGCCUGGAUGAAAGACUGAAGGACCUGCUGAAGCAGAUGGAGCUGGUCACCCAGCAAGAGGACUUGGCAGAAAAGCUGCAACAUCACUUCAGUGUCUCUGAGAUGAGCAGAUCUUGGGAGAACUGAGGAGGCCAAAGAAACCACAGAUGCCUUUAAACUAUGACAUUCUAUACUCUGAGAUCAAGGCCUCCUCCUCAGAAGACACUCCUUUAGAGUUGUGAACUCACCAGUGAGGAGCAUACCAGCUGUCUUCCAGGUGAUCCAGCCCCAACAGAUCUAUUGGUCUGCUGACUUAGUCUUCUCAAAGAAAAGAAGGAAACCAAAAAUGAGCUUGAGACACUGAAAAUCUGAGCCAAGAUUUACUGAGAACCCUGACAUUCAAUAGCAAGUGGCCACUGUGAGGGGUACUACAACAUGAAGGGUAGAGAUGUUGGUGAGCAAGACUGUUUCUGUCGGUUUAAUGUUGAUGGCUUUGGCAAGCUGACUGAGUUCUCAGGCCUCCCUAUGUGGUGUGAAAUGUGUCAUGGAUGAUUGUGUUGAUGUCAAGCUGUUCCUGACAGACCACACCCAAAGGCAUCAUAUUUCAUUCUCCAGUUGAGUGUUGAAGUUGACGCAAUGUCAUGCACCAGUGUUGCUGAAGAUAAUGCACCAAAGAGAUCUCCAGAGUCCAUCAUUCCUCGUAUUAGUCAUUUUUCCCUCCAUAUGUAAAAUGAGUGGGUAUUCUUCAGUUUCACAGCCUGGCCUGAAGUGACUGGUCCUGAGAAAGGAUUUACAGAAGACACCUGAGUCAUCUUUGAUGUUCAUGGGCACUCAGAGGCUGCCCAUGGAUUUGUUGGGUCUCCAGUAAGCAUAGAAUUGUCUGAAAAAAUCAAAUGAUGACCAAGACAUUACAGGAUCAGUAGUAGGUGAUAAUUUAUCAAAAGCUUCCCAAGGGGCACAAUGUUUGCUCUAGGAAAUGUCUCAUUGUUAGUCUCUGUGAGGACUUGGCCUACAAAGCCUGAAGGAGGCAUGGCUAUACUAGCUUUGAAAAGGCUUUUCACAAUCGUUGACUGCCUUCCUACCAUGUUUCCAAGGCCAGCCAGAGGCUGUAGGUCUGUGCUUUAAAUGUGUAGCAAGAGAAUGCUGCUGACCUUAAUUGUUUUUGUUUGGUUUUUGGUUGGGUUUUGUUUGCUUAGGUUUUUUGGGUUUUCUUUGUUAUAGAUUGAGCUUUUGCUAUUUAUUUGUUCUUUCAUUUGUUCUUGUUGUUUUUUGGGUAUUUUGAUAAGGAUAUUCACUGUUUAUGUUGACUGAUCUAUUUAAGCCCCUAUUUAGUAAAAUAACUGUAUUUUUAUUAAUAAUAAAGUGAUUUUGAACUCUUC